AGCGAACGCUGGCGGCAGGCCUAACACAUGCAAGUCGAACGAACUCUUCGGAGUUAGUGGCGGACGGGUGAGUAACACGUGGGAACGUGCCUUUUGGUUCGGAAUAACUCAGGGAAACUUGUGCUAAUGCCGAAUGUGCCCUUCGGGGGAAAGAUUUAUCGCCAUUAGAGCGGCCCGCGUCUGAUUAGCUAGUUGGUGAGGUAACGGCUCACCAAGGCGACGAUCAGUAGCUGGUCUGAGAGGAUGACCAGCCACACUGGGACUGAGACACGGCCCAGACUCCUACGGAAGGCAGCGGUGGGGAAUCUUGCGAAAUGGGCGAAAGCCUGACGCAGCCAUGCCGCGUGAAUGAUGAGGGUCUUAGGAUUGUAAAAUUCUUUCACCGGGGACGAUAAUGACGGUACCCGGAGAAGAAGCCCCGGCUAACUUCGUG
rnacentral:rRNA from 1 species